rnacentral:rRNA from 1 species
UACGUAGGGGGCAAGCGUUGUCCGGAAUCAUUGGGCGUAAAGAGCGCGUAGGCGGUCCGGUAAGUCCGCUCUGAAAGUCCGGGGCUCAACCCCGGGAGGCGGGCGGAUACUGUCGGGCUAGAGUCCGGAAGAGGCGAGUGGAAUUCCUGGUGUAGCGGUGAAAUGCGCAGAUAUCAGGAGGAACACCAAUGGCGAAGGCAGCUCGCUGGGACGGUACUGACGCUGAGACACGAAAGCAUGGGGAGCAAACAGG